UUUUUCCCCAUGUUCUUGAUCUCUUUGGCCAGCUGAGUGUGGCAUUCUCUGAACCGAUCCGAAGCAAUGAUGAUGAAAAAAUCAUAGCGUUCGAACUGAACCAGUUCAAGAUACUCAUCGGCUUUGAAGUUUGGUGUUCCGAUGCCAGGAAGAUCCCACACUUUCACAUUUUUGUAUUUAGGGUGAAGGUAAACUUCAGCCUCCAUAGUGGUUUCUACUGGGCCAGUUUUAGCAGAGCCUUCGUCUUCAUCCCCUAAACCCCUGAAUGCAUUGACAAACGUGGACUUUCCAGAACCUGACUCUCCCGUCACACCAAUGUUAAGUUCUACAAGAUCUUGCUGUUUGAGGUAUUCUUU